GAUGAGCGCUAGCGGCAGGCUUAACACAUGCAAGUCGAGGGGUAGAAGUUGCUUGCAACUUUGAGACCGGCGCACGGGUGCGUAACGCGUAUGCAAUCUACCUUAUACAGAGGGAUAGCCCAGAGAAAUUUGGAUUAAUACCUCAUAGUAUAAUUGAAUGGCAUCAUUUAAUUAUUAAAGUUCCAACGGUAUAAGAUGAGCAUGCGUCCUAUUAGCUAGAUGGUAAGGUAACGGCUUACCAUGGCAACGAUAGAUAGGGGUCCUGAGAGGGAGAUCCCCCACACUGGUACUGCGACACGGACCAGACGCCUACGGGAGGCAGCAGUGAGGAAUAUUGGACAAUGGGCGCAAGCCUGCUCCAGCCAUGCCGCGUGCAGGAAGAAGCAUCUAUGGUGUGUAAACUGCUUUUGUACGGGAAGAAACACCCCUUCGUGAAGGGACUUGACGGUACCGUAAGAAUAAGGAUCGGCUAACUCCGUGCCAGCCGCCGCCGUAAUAC
rnacentral:rRNA from 1 species